GUUUCCGAUGGGAAGCGAUAAACGUGGGCUGUCUCUUUAUUUCGAAUGUAUGACGCCGAACCACUUGAAACGUUGUAGAAGUGCGCGCGAAGAAAUAGGUUCUUUUAUCAAUCAGUUAUAAAAGAGCAUUUCAGUUCACAACAGUCAUCCAGUAGUAUUCGAAAAGCCCUCCAUAGAAGUGCAGUAAUAUUGUUACGUGUACAGAGGAUAUUGCAAAGCUAUGAGUGCAAAACAAAUUUUAGUGAAAGCUUUCGCUAUAAUAUUGGUAAUGGAGUUCUUUAUGGCGGCAAGCAGUACUGUCGACUGUCAAUCUGUUGAUUCUUCCGAAUCUGUAGGAAGCGAAGCAGAAAUUGAGCAAGCUAACAUAAUCGACGCUCCCGUCGUUUGUCCCCCGGGACAGCUCCCGGACUCUAAUGGGAAAUGUCGACCCUACUGGGGCAGAGGAAAAGAGGAGUGAAUAGUCUGUUUGAUUGAAGUUGAUGCUUUCUGGAGGCGUUACGUAUAAUCUUAAUUUCUGUACAUGCUUUCUGCUGGAUUGAUCACUAAAUCCUGAUCAACUAAUGGUUUAAAACUGUAUGCAGUUUAUUAUUUGGUUUCGUUCAUUUUGUUUAUAUCUGCAUCUGAUCAAAUGCAGAAAUAAAGCUCCGGUAUUUUUGAAAACAUAAAAUCAAAUUUUCGACACAGUCAAA